rnacentral:rRNA from 1 species
AGAGUUUGAUCCUGGCUCAGAUUGAACGCUGGCGGCAGGCUUAACACAUGCAAGUCGAGCGGAGAUGAGGUGCUUGCACCUUAUCUUAGCGGCGGACGGGUGAGUAAUGCUUAGGAAUCUGCCUAUUAGUGGGGGACAACAUUCCGAAAGGAAUGCUAAUACCGCAUACGUCCUACGGGAGAAAGCAGGGGAUCUUCGGACCUUGCGCUAAUAGAUGAGCCUAAGUCGGAUUAGCUAGUUGGUGGGGUAAAGGCCCACCAAGGCGACGAUCUGUAGCGGGUCUGAGAGGAUGAUCCGCCACACUGGGACUGAGACACGGCCCAGACUCCUACGGGAGGCAGCAGUGGGGAAUAUUGGACAAUGGGGGGAACCCUGAUCCAGCCAUGCCGCGUGUGUGAAGAAGGCCUUAUGGUUGUAAAGCACUUUAAGCGAGGAGGAGGCUACUGAGACUAAUACUCUUGGAUAGUGGACGUUACUCGCAGAAUAAGCACCGGCUAACUCUGUGCCAGCAGCCGCGGU